UGCCAGCCGCCGCGGUAAUACGGAGGGGGCUAGCGUUGUUCGGAAUUAUUGGGCGUAAAGCGAGUGUAGGCGGUUUGACAAGUCGGGUGUGAAAUCCCAGGGCCCAACCCUGGAACUGCACCCGAUACUGUCAGGCUAGAGUCCCGGAGAGGGUGGCGGAAUUCCCGGUGUAGGGGUGAAAGCCGUAGAUAUCGGGAGGAACACCAGUGGCGAAGGCGACUACCUGGACUGAUAUUGACGCGGAGACGCGAAAGCGUGGGGAGCAAACAGGAUUAGAUA
rnacentral:rRNA from 1 species